CCUACGGGUGGCUGCAGUGGGGAAUGUUGCACAAUGGGCGCAAGCCUGAUGCAGCCAUGCCGCGUGUGUGAAGAAGGCCUUCGGGUUGUAAAGCACUUUCAGCGGGGAGGAAGGCGUUAAGGUUAAUAACCUUGGCGAUUGACGUUACCCGCAGAAGAAGCACCGGCUAACUCCGUGCCAGCAGCCGCGGUAAUACGGAGGGUGCAAGCGUUAAUCGGAAUUACUGGGCGUAAAGCGCACGCAGGCGGUCUGUCAAGUCGGAUGUGAAAUCCCCGGGCUCAACCUGGGAACUGCAUUCGAAACUGGCAGGCUAGAGUCUUGUAGAGGGGGGUAGAAUUCCAGGUGUAGCGGUGAAAUGCGCAGAGAUCUGGAGGAAUACCGGUGGCGAAGGCGGCCCCCUGGACAAAGACUGACGCUCAGGUGCGAAAGCGUGGGGAGCAAACAGGAUUAGAUACCCCUGUAGUC
rnacentral:rRNA from 1 species